rnacentral:rRNA from 1 species
AUUGAACGCUGGCGGCAGGCCUAACACAUGCAAGUCGAGCGAGCGGCGGACGGGUGAGUAAUGUAUGGGGACUGCCCGAUAGAGGGGGAUAACUACUGGAAACGGUGGCUAAUACCGCAUACUAUCGGAUAACCCAUAUGGGAUUAGCUAGUAGGUAAGGUAAUGGCUUACCUAAGCGACGAUCCCUAGCUGGUCUGAGAGGAUGAUAAGCCACACUGGGACGGGGACACGGCCCAGACUCCUACGGAGGAAGCAGUGGUGAAUAUUGCACAAUGGGCGCAAUCCUGAUGCAGCCAUGCAGCGUGUAUGAAGAAGGCCCUAGGGUUGGAAAGUACUGUCAGGCGGGAGGCGUUACCGACAGAAGAAGCACCGGCUAACUCCGUGCCAGCAGCCGCGGUAAUUC